rnacentral:rRNA from 1 species
GGUCUUGGAAUAAGAGGUGGGUAAGGACGGUGCCAGCCGCCGCGGUAAUACCGGCGCCUCAAGUGGUAGUCGAUUUUAUUGGGCCUAAAACGUCCGUAGCCGGUUUGAUACAUUCGUGGGUAAAUCAACCAGCUCAACUGGUUGAAUUCUGCGAGGACGGCCAGACUUGGGACCGGGAGAGGUGUGGGGUACUCUCAGGGUAGGGGUAAAAUCCUGUCAUCCUGAGCGGACCACCUGUUGCGAAGGCGCCACACUAGAACGGAUCCGACGGUCAGGGACGAAGCCUAGGGGCACGAACCGGAUUAAAUACCCGGGUAGUCCUAGGUGUAAACGCUGUGGACUUGAUGUUGGGGAUGAUCCGAGCACUCUCAGUGCCGAAGCGAAGGUGAUAAGUCCACUG